rnacentral:rRNA from 1 species
CAGUAGCCACGGUAAUACAGAGGGUGCAAGCGUUAAUCGGAAUUACUGGGCGUAAAGCGCGCGUAGGUGGUUUGUUAAGUUGGAUGUGAAAUCCCCGGGCUCAACCUGGGAACUGCAUCUAAAACUGGCAGGCUAGAGUAGGGCAGAGGGUGGUGGAAUUUCCUGUGUAGCGGUGAAAUGCGUAGAUAUAGGAAGGAACACCAGUGGCGAAGGCGACCACCUGGGCUCAUACUGACACUGAGGUGCGAAAGCGUGGGGAGCAAACAGGAUUAGAUACCCCUGUAGUCCCUGUCUCUUAUAC